UUCUCUAACUUUAAUUAUAUAUAUAUAUAUAUAUAAAUUAUUACAAAUAAUUUUUUAAAAAAAUUAAAUUUUUGAAAACCGAAGGGGAGACAGAAAAGAAGUAGAAAGUAAGUAUUUGUACCUUUUGCAUUAGGGUUUUUUAAAAAAAAAUAAAUUUUUAUUUUUCUCGAAAUAAAUUGAGCUAUUUAAUUUUAUAUUAUUUCUUGUUUUAAAAAGAAAUUUAAAUAAUAAAUAGAGGUGAAAUUCUAUUCAAAAUUUAAGAUAUCUAGUUUUUAAAAAAAGAUUAAAAAUCUUUUUGUUUUAGUAAUUAAAUAUUAUAAAUAUAAACAGAAAAUUUCUUUGGGGAUAAGCUCAAAAAUUUUAAUUUAAAAUUCUAAAAUUUUUAUUAAAUAAGGAUUAAAAUUUUCCGGAAAAUUUUAAUAAAUUCUUAUUAAGGGGUUUUUUAAAAUAAUUUAAUGUUAAAAAAAAAAUUAACAGUUAAUUUUUAUAAAAAUGACAAAAUUAGUAAAAUUCCCAUUUUUUCAAUUUUUUGAAAUUUUAAUUUUUUUAAUUAAUUUAAAGUAAAUGAACUCGGCAAUUUUUUUUCUUGACUGUUUAAUAAAAACAACUCAUUUAGAAAAAUUAAUUAAAUGAAAAUCCUGCUCAAUGAAUUAUUA
rnacentral:rRNA from 1 species